CGCAGGUGGUUUGGCAAGUUUGACGUGAAAGCCCCGGGCUUAACCCGGGAAUGGCGUUGAAAACUGCUUGAACUGGAGGAUUGGAGGGGGGGACUGGAAUUCUUGGUGUAGCAGUGAAAUGCGUAGAUAUCAAGAGGAACACCAGUGGCGAAGGCGAGUCCCUGGACAAUACCUGACACUGAGGCACGAAAGCCAAGGGAGCAAACA
rnacentral:rRNA from 1 species